rnacentral:rRNA from 1 species
UACGAAGGGGGGCUAGCGUUGCUCGGAAUGACUGGGCGUAAAGGGCGCGUAGGCGGAUGGCACAGUCAGAUGUGAAAUUCCCGGGCUUAACCUGGGGGCUGCAUUUGAUACGUGUUGUCUAGAGUGAGGAAGAGGGUUGUGGAAUUCCCCAGUGUAGAGGUGAAAUUCGUAGAUAUUGGGAAGAACACCGGUGGCGAAGGCGGCAACCUGGUCCUUGACUGACGCUGAGGCGCGAAAGCGUGGGGAGCAAACAGG